rnacentral:rRNA from 1 species
AGCGUUGUUCGGAAUUACUGGGCGUAAAGCGUAUGCAGGCGGAUCGUUAAGUCGGGGGUGAAAUCCCGAGGCUCAACCUCGGAACUGCCUUCGAUACUGGCGACCUUCGAGUCCGGGAGAGGUGAGUGGAACUCCGAGUGUAGAGGUGAAAUUCGUAGAUAUUCGGAAGAACACCAGUGGCGAAGGCGGCUCACUGGCCCGGUACUGACGCUGAGAUACGAAAGCGUGGGGAGCAAACAGG